AUAAAAUGUUCAUGUAUAUGACAAUAUAUCAUCAACUUAUAUUUAUAAAAUGGUCAUCCCAUAAUUAAUCUAUGUUCAUGCGAAAAAAGUAAAAUAAAAUUACAUGUAAAUUGUUGAUAUACUUAAGAAUAGUUUCUUAUAUACAUUUAAAAAGCAAGUCCAAUGUUAAGUGGAUGAGUCUUGGUGAAUUUUAAAUUUUGUUCUCUUAUACCAAGAGAGAAAUUAAUAAUUAUACAGAGAAGGCAUCAUAUAUAUAGGAAUUAUUGAUACUAUACCAAUUAUCAACAAUGCCUUAACUAUAAUAUUAACAUGCACCAGUUUUUUGCUACCCAUUAUAAUAGGUCAAUUCUACCCCUCGGAAACAAUAAGCGAUCAAUUCUAGAUGGGGCAUUAAAGUAACUUACACGAUAUGACAAAGCAUCAAUUUGAAAAAAAAACUUUAGAAGGAACCAUGAAUCUUUAGAAGUGAAACUAAAAUUGGACAUUCCGACAAGCCAUAACUCCAAGCAUUAAUAUUUUCUUCAACUUCACACAUCAAUGUGGAGAAGCUUUCACUAUAUAUAUAUGAACCAUUCAUGGAGCAAGCAUUUCACGGUCAUACACUCAUCAACUCCACUUACAAGAGUACCACCCAUUAAUAGCCUCUGUUCCCCGAAGAUGAUGACCAAGUACAUGAGGAACAAUGUGCAAGGACUAGUGCUACUUUCUUUUCUUCUUGUGGUUUGUUUGACUUGUCUUGGAGGCACAUAUGGCGAAAUCAUAAAUGACAAGGGGAGCAACAUGAUGACGAAAGUAAGCCAUGUAACGAGACCCCCUUGUUAUAAAGAUGGGCACCAGCUCCCAGGACGGGAAUUCUGCUGUAAAAUAGAUAAAUUGUGCUGGCCAAAUCUCGGAGAAUGCUUCAUCAACUGUCCCUGCAAGAUUAAUUGCACACCAGCAGCAGCAGCAACACAAUAGUUUCGUUAUCACCCCUAUUUUGGGUGGAUAAAUCCCAACCUUAUGGUUCUCAAAAUAAUUAUGUGCUGAUGAGAUCAUAAAUUUUGUAUGUUUUAUAAAUCAACUAUGUUAUUUUAAUAUUCAAUAAAACUAGCCAAUGGGUUGUUUGUACAA